rnacentral:tRNA from 1 species
GCGUGGGUGGCGGAACUGGCAUACGCGCUAGCUUGAGGAGCUAGUUCCUCACGGAUUGCGGGUUCAAAUCCCGCCCCGCGCACCA